rnacentral:lncRNA from 1 species
UCUCGCAUUGCCCUGAAGCAGAGUGGGAGCACUGAAACAAGGGAAAGGAGGAAGAGAGGACCUUCCUGCUCCCCACACAUCAGCCUGUUUCCAGCCCAUGGCCUGUGGCACAUCUUCCUCCUGAGGCUGCAUGGAAGCCAAUGGAUUCCACAUUAAAGCAAUGUGAGGCUUGAUGCUGUGAAUGUGGAUGGAAAUGAUGUUGAAAUGUGAAAAGACUGAAGGCACAUGUGAGCUCUAAGUGCAUCCUGAUAAUAAUGUCCAGAUAGAUGCAUAUGAUCCCUUCCUGUCAUGGCUGUGAAGUUAUCUUCAGACCACAGAUCUGGAGAUUUAGGCUGCAUCUCCAGCUUCUUCAUACUGAGUGUAAACUACUGCUGUCCUCAGUGCUGAUGGAAAGACAGAAAGAACAUAGCUGGUUUCAUCGGAUCCACCCAGGCCAUUUGCAUUUCAGCACUGGACCACACCAGAUGAGGUCCAGCCUUCCUAUGGGAUGCUGCAGAGCGCUACAGUGAUAACUGAGGCAUCUGAAGAGAACCCAUUACCUUGCACCUACUUCUAGUAGAUGAAAUGCUAAUGCCUCUGUAUUGUCUGGUACACUGGGUCAGGGCUUCUCAUGGUUGGUGCCC